rnacentral:rRNA from 1 species
AUGGGGUCCAGCCCGGCUAAUCCUGUGCCCAACCCUGAUGAGAGUUCAUUAUCUCAUAUCAAGAGCCAAGAUAUGUUAGCUGAAAAGGUUGUGGACCAAUGGGAUGACAGUGACACUAAAAACUCCUCUGGAAGUGCAUCAUAUCAAGUUGUUCCUUACAAGAAUGCCCAGGGAGAAAACACCUUACCUGUGCUGUCUAAAAAAAGGAAAUUCAUUAUUAGUACAUAUUCUGUGCAAUGUAGUACUUGCCAGAAAUGGAGAGUUGUACCAUCCAAACUGAAAUAUGAGCAAAUCCGAGAGAAUAUUAUACAAGUUCCUUUUUCUUGCAAAUAUGUCCAUGGGUGGAAGCCACAAGUUACAUGCCAUGAUCCAACUGAUAUAUCUGAGGAUAAUGGCAUGGCAUGGGCAAUUGAUAUCCCAUGCAUCCCUCAGACCCCUCUUAGGUGGGAAAGGAAUAUUACUCUAAGGAAUGAACAGAGCACGAGAUUCGCUGAUGUGUACUAUAUCUCUCCCGUAGGCAGAAAGGUAAGAUCCAUGAAAGACGUCGAAAGGGUACCUAAACCUGCAAAUUGCCCUCGUCAGUCAGAGUUUAUUGAACCAACUGAAGUGCCACCUCCGGUUCACGAGGAUCCCGUGCACAACUACAUGCCAGUCCCUCAUGGAGAAGCCAAUCAUUUAACUCAUAUACCAGUUAUACUAGUUCUACAAGUACCAAUGAUGCUCUCCAAAAAGAGAAAACUAAACCAGUGA